CCUUUGCACUUAUUGUCAUGUUUCCUAUAGUUGUUUUGUGACAAAUUUUGCUUCCCUCUUUAGAAGCUGGUAAGAGACUUACAGGAACAUCACCAUGGUAAGAAUGUGUGCAUUUUACAAUAAAUUAAUCUGUAAAAAGUAUAAUGUUCAGAACCUGACAUUCUCUUUGCCUCUGUGUACUCCGAUUUCAGCUUCUUUAUUUCUUCUAUAAUCACAAGCUGAACAAUUAUCUCCCACACAGCAUGAGUUAUGGACAAACAUCCUUAGGAAGGGAGAUGAUUCAGUGGAUAAAGUGCUUGCCAUGAGUCUGUGAGAAUGGAAGUUUGGAUUCUCAGAAUCCACAUGAGGUCUUGAGGAUCUCAUGUGCAUCUGAAUCCUGGGGCACUUAUGGUGAGGCAGGAGGUGGUGAGAGAGAAUCCCCUGAAGUUUACUGGAUAGUUUGCCUGGGUUUCUUAUUCAUGAAGAAGGGAUUGAGCCACAAAACCAAGGUUGGAAGAAUGUUGCAUGCUGUUAUUCUAAAGGCUCCCUGACAAGCCCUCCUUUCUUGUUCCUAGGUGUGUGAAUGUGGAUAAUGUCAGCUCUACCUCCUCUGUGAAGGGAGAUUCGGGAAGAAAAUUCCAUAUAAUACCUAAGAAGAUCCAGAACAUUUUUAGAAAAUCUGGAGUUUAUGUGUGUUCUCGAGGAGAGCCAGUACCUGAUGUAUGGAAAGCAAAAAAAUCCAUAAUGCAUACGCAGACCAGACUCCAUAAAUUGUCAUGUCUGCAAACGUCAUCUGCUGUUCGUGACGUCACUUUAUCUCUGAAAAAAACUGAGCUUCACUAAGGAUCACCUUGGACAUGGAUACAUCCACUGUCAUGGUAUUGGCCUGCUGCCUGCCCGAUGGCAAAGAAGGACAAAUGAGUCACCUCCAGGACACUGCAUUCACAGAGACAUGGAUUCUCCUUGAUCACGGUUCCAAUCUCCUGGAUUGUGUCAUCUGGUAAGUG